GGGCUCAAUUGGUAGAGCACGAGACUCUUAAUCUCAGGUCAUGAGUUUGAGUCUCCACGUCGAGCA